AUUGAACGCUGGCGGCAGGCUUAACACAUGCAAGUCGAGCGGGGAAGGGUAGCUUGCUACCUGACCUAGCGGCGGACGGGUGAGUAAUGCUUAGGAAUCUGCCUAUUAGUGGGGGACAACAUUCCGAAAGGAAUGCUAAUACCGCAUACGCCCUACGGGGGAGAGCAGGGGAUCUUCGGACCUUGCGCUAAUAGAUGAGCCUAAGUCAGAUUAGCUAGUUGGUGGGGUAAAGGCCUACCAAGGCGACGAUCUGUAGCGGGUCUGAGAGGAUGAUCCGCCACACUGGGACUGAGACACGGCCCAGACUCCUACGGGAGGUAGCAGUGGGGAAUAUUGGACAAUGGGCGCAAGCCUGAUCCAGCCAUGCCGCGUGUGUGAAGAAGGCCUUUUGGUUGUAAAGCACUUUAAGCGAGGAGGAGGCUACUUGGAUUAAUACUCUAGGAUAGUGGACGUUACUCGCAGAAUAAGCACCGGCUAACUCUGUGCCAGCCGCCGCCGUAA
rnacentral:rRNA from 1 species